ensembl:lncRNA
AGAAAAUGUUGACAGAUGAUGUAGUUGGAUGUCAGUCUGCCAGUAGCAACAGUACAGCAACUCACAACACCUCUGCUCAGACUUAAAAGAAAACAUCAUACAUAGUCACUUCUCAGGAAGGUGGAGGCUAACGGCUUCGCCUCUUCUACAGACUUUCUGCUCAGGUUGCCCUGGAGCUUCCAUCCGCCUUCAGGAAAAUGGAGCACCACUUCACUUGGCUCGAAGGCACCUACAGAUGAAACGAUACAAUAGCGACCCUGACAGCAGCCCGGCUGUGCCACCUCGUGGGGACAGAGCUCAGCGCUGACCCUAUCGGCCUCACUGCUGCCACCUGCCUGUCUCCAACGGUAUCCAACACAGUUUGCCCAAGAAAAACAAAAAUUGAGAAGCUAAAUUAGUCUCUUCUAUAUUUCCACUGAAGAGCAUAGAGUUUUGCCGAAGAUAUUUGCCAGAAAUAUCAGAGAGUGGAGAUUGCAUUUUCAAAUGCAAAGAACCAGGUGAUGUAAAAGUUGGUGAAAGCACACAUUUAAGCUGCCUGCUAAUUGAUUAUUGUGAUGCUAAGAUUUUGCAUUGUCUCCUUUUGAAGGCAAUUAACAAUAUUUGUAAUUGUUUGGUGAGAGUGAGAUCAAGCACCAGAUGUGUAUUUUAUUGUAUUCUCUGUGUUAAAUUCAUUCCCUCAGUUGCAUCUGCAAAAGCCAGCAGAAAACCUGGCAGAAGGUCCUUGGCUGAGUAGUCAAGAAUCUAGAAACAGGAAAGGACUGCCACAAUGGAAACUACCCAAACCCCUAUUAGACAGGGUGCUUACACAUAGCAAAAAAUGCUCUGGCUUAUGAUGCUAAGUCUUACAGGCUUCUGAGGAG